UGCUGACAGCUGCUGGCUGCUGGGGGAGGGAGAGUCAGUUUUCAUUAAGGACAUGGUACCUAGUAGGUAGGUGGACCGUGCUCCAGUGGAUGGCCCAUGCCUGUGUUUAUAUGGGCAGUACAAGUCUGACUCAGUAGGCUUUUAAAACUCUAGACCACCAACUCAAAGCAACAUGGAUGUGAAGCUGAGAGGAAGUGCAUCUGGGAGAAGGUGCAGGAGAGUGGAGGGUAAAUAUGAUCACAAUACACUUCGUGUAUGUAUGAAACUCUUAAAGGAUUAUCAGAAUAUUAUCUUAGAAAUAGUGACUUUCCAGGCCAGGUGUGGUAGUGCUCACCUUUAAUCCCAGCACUCAGGAGGCAGAGGCAGGUGGAUCUCUGUGAGUUCAAAGCCAGUCUAGUCUACAAAGAGUUCCAGGACAGCAAGGGCUGUUACAAAGAGAAACCCUGUCUGGAAACCCAAAAACCAAAACCAACCAAACAAAAACAACUGCUAAGAUGCCCUUGUGAGUGCAUGCGAGCACACACACUUAUGUGUGUAUAUGUACAGAGGUCUUUGUCUCAGAAAGUAAUAUUGUAUUCCUUUCUUUCUUUUUUCUUUUUCUUUUUUGCCUGCCUUUGAUGUCAGAUUCUGUUUCAUCUCUCUAAGUCAGUUUUCUCUUCUGUUCACUCCAACCCCAUCUUUGGGAUUUUCAACAUGAAGACAACUGCUUUUACGGCACCCUAAAUGUCUUUCUGGAGCACAAGCAGACACAAUGGAGAAACCUGUAGUGGCUGUAACUGAUUCCAAGGCUCCCCAGGGCUUUUGGAUGGAGCAGGGCACACACGGGGGUGUAUUUUGGAUGGAGCGGGGCACACACAGGGAUGUAUUUUGGAUGGAGCGGGGCACACACGGGGCUGCAUUUGGAGCAUGGUUUAGGGGCCAAAGUCUGAAGAUCUGUGGUUUCUGUACAUUAGGAAAACAAACUCAAGUAAACCAAAGGCUCACCCGAGCAGAUGAGAGCCACAAGUCAUAAGAGCAUCUGUGUUCACCAGGAGAAGGUGAGCUGUGUGGUGUAGGGCAGAGCUCCGGUUCCUUUGAUGGAGGGCUCUGCUCAUUAUGGAGAUUAUGCUGGUGAGCCAGCCCUUCCUAAUAGACCCAUGACAGGUCCUUGAUUUGAUGAGUGACUCAGUAGUUUCAAGUUUCUUGUUGCUUUUGGUACUUCACAUAUUUUCUUUCUUGGCAACAGUUCUAACAAGGCAUCCAGCUUUAAAACACUUACCACUGGUACGUUCAUGCCAGGCUUUAUGACAAUGCUCACCGCAAAAUGAAAAGAAGGAUAUCCAGCUCGCCCAAUUGGCCUUGUCUCUGAGCUUACUAACCAUUGCAAUAUGCAAAAUGAUCAUCUUGCUGCAGUCCAGCCUUGACUUGAGAUGAAGUUUAUUUAUUCAUACACACCUAAGUCAUAUGUUAGAGGACAAUGUGCCAUGGCCAUAUUGGAAGACAGUUUUUCCACACAUUUGUGCCUGUGUGCCUCUGCUUAUCGUAAUGUUCUGCAUGCAAUAGGUAUUCUAGGAAUGUCUUUUUAAAAAUCCAUGAAGUUGUUUAUAAAAAAGAUUUUUAGAGAUUCAGUGUGUGUUCCAUUUUUUCAGGAGUUUCAUGGGUUGGCAUCAUGGUGUAAGCACAUGUCAAAGUGAGAACUCAUGUUGUAUGGUAUGUCUGC
rnacentral:lncRNA from 1 species